UACGUAGGGGGGCAAGCGUUGUCCGGAAUCAUUGGGCGUAAAGCGCACGUAGGCGGCCCUGUAAGUCCGUUGUGAAAGUCAAAGGCUCAACCUUUGAAUGCCGAUGGAUACUGCAGGGCUAGAGUCCGGAAGAGGCGAGUGGAAUUCCUGGUGUAGCGGUGGAAUGCGCAGAUAUCAGGAGGAACACCGGUGGCGAAGGCGGUUCUCUGGGCAUGUCCUGACGCUGAGGAGCGAAAGUGUGGGGAGCGAACAGG
rnacentral:rRNA from 1 species